GUGUCAGCAGCCGCGGUAAUACGAAGGGUGCAAGCGUUAAUCGGAAUUACUGGGCGUAAAGCGUGCGUAGGUGGUUUGUUAAGUCUGCUGUGAAAGCCCUGGGCUCAACCUGGGAAUGGCGGUGGAUACUGACAAGCUAGAGUGCGGUAGAGGAGGGUGGAAUUCCCGGUGUAGCGGUGAAAUGCGUAGAGAUCGGGAGGAACAUCAGUGGCGAAGGCGGCCCUCUGGACCAGCACUGACGCUGAGGCACGAAAGCGUGGGGAGCAAACAGGAUUAGAUACCCCCGUAGUCC
rnacentral:rRNA from 1 species